rnacentral:rRNA from 1 species
UACGAAGGGGGCUAGCGUUGCUCGGAAUCACUGGGCGUAAAGGGCGCGUAGGCGGCCUACUAAGUCAGACGUGAAAUCCCCAGGCUUAACUUGGGAACUGCGUCUGAUACUGGGAGGCUUGAGUGCGGGAGAGGGAUGUGGAAUUCCAGGUGUAGCGGUGAAAUGCGUAGAUAUCUGGAGGAACACCGGUGGCGAAGGCGGCAUCCUGGACCGACACUGACGCUGAGGCGCGAAAGCUAGGGGAGCAAACGGG